rnacentral:lncRNA from 1 species
ACUUAAUGUAACAAUUUGGUAUAAAUUUUAUUUGGAUAUUAGACUUAAGUAAGUAUAAAUCAUUUUAAUGAACUAGUCAUAAUGUAUAUAGUAUGUAUAUAGUAUGUGUAUAGUUUAAAAUUAUAGUUUUAAAAAUUAAAACUAUACUUCAGUUAAAACAUUUUAUAUUUCAGAAGUGUAAAUAAUGAUAUUAAAAUAACCAUUUAAGUGAUUAAUUCAAAGUAAGUAGUGCAGCUUUGUACUCAUACUAUUGUAGAAAAUACUGUUUAUGGCUCACCCCUGUAAUCCCAGCACUUUAGGAGGCUGAGGCGGGUGGAUCACCUGAGGUCAAGGAUUCAAGAUUAAGCUGGUGAACAUGAUAACACACCAUCCCUACUAUAAAUACAAUAAUUUAGACAGGCAUGGUUGGGCACACCUGUAAUCCCAGCUAUUCUGGAGGCUGAGGCAGGAGAAUCACUUCAACCCGGGAGGCAGCGGUUGCAGUGAGCUGAAAUUACGCCACUGAACUCCAGCCUGGGCAAGAGUGAGACUCUGUCUCAAAAAAAAAAAAAAAAAAAAAAGAAAAGAAAAUACUGUUUAAUUUAUAUGAAUGCAGGUAGUCUGCAAACAUUACACAUAACUAUACUAAUUGUUAUGAAGUAAUAGAAAGCAAGGUACAACUACAGACUGCACUGUUCAGUUUAUGCACUGAACUGUUCUUGCUUUUGCAGUACAAGUGCUUCAGCCUGCAAAUAUUGGAUAAUUACCUUGGAUCAUCAGGUUUCUGACAAAGAAAUUUAGUAUCUUUUAGUCUUUAUCAUUCUGUAUUGCUAAAUUUAAUUCUCUUUGUGCUAAGCUUCUGUAUGCUAUUAAAAUGAGCUUUUAUCUAAACAAAUCUGUCUAAAGGACUAAAAAUGAAAAAAAUAAACAUUUUGGAAGCAAAAACAAAGUAAUAAAUCUGAAGUACUAGAUAAAGAUAAUCUGGAGUCAGAAAAAAUGACAAAAGGUUUAUUUAGCUGUUAAUAUGAUUUACAUAUAUUUCAAUAAAACAAAGAAAAAUAUCUACAUAUAAUCUAAAUUCCUUACAAAAAGAGGGAAUAGCAAAAACAUUUUUGGAAGUUUUCAAAGAGUUUUGAACUCUUGGACAUCUGAAAUUUGUACAAUGUAUGCACUUGAAAGAAGGUUUAUGAGGGAAAAACCAAAAGAGAGAAAGAUAUUAUAUGAAACUUAUUAAUGCAUAAGACCAAUGCAACUGGCCGGGCGCGGUGGCUCAAGCCUGUAAUCCCAGC